AAAAGUGCUUUAUAAAUAAAGUUGGAUUGGUUGAUUGAUAUCUGGGUGGGUGGAGUGCUCCUGUCCCAGGUGAAGAAAAUCUGGUCCAGAUGCCUUCUGACCGCCUCCUGGGGAAGUGGUCUGGGCAUGUUCCACUGGACGGAGGCCCUGGGAAAGUCCCAGAACACGCUGGAGAGACUGCAUCUCUCGGCUGACAUGGAAACGCCACAGAGGACCUGCAUGAAGUGCGAGAACAGAGAGCUUAAAGUUGUUGCCUAGCCCUGGGGGUUCCAAGACACUGAAGUCCAUGUUGCUCCUGCUGGUUGAGAGAAAACACCACGGAGGCAUAAAGCAGAUGCACUUUCUCCUGUACCACCGUUUGAAGUCUGUCCAGCAACUGUUAUACGAAACGCAAGUAAAGAUAGUUCUUCUUCAAGCAGGCACAGUUUAUUCACAGGCCUCUCUAAGCCGACUGGUCCUGGUCUUUAUCCUUACUCUUUUCACCGUCCCAAUGGAGUCAGUUAUCAUUUCCACCACUUUCCCCAUAAGCCAAAAAUUGCAUGGGGAAGAACUGUCCACAAGGAGGACGACAUCUUGAGCCAUGAAAUUUCUUUUGGGCCUCAGCCAUUUCUGCCGUUUUUGUUGUUGUAAAAGAAAUUCAUGUGUCCAUCUGGUUCAGAAUAAAUCCACAAGAUACUGUAUUUGUUUCCAUCUUCUUCUUGAAUAAAAGUCAUUUUUGGUAAA